GCGAGUGAAGCGGGAAGAGCUCAAACCGAAAAUCACUACCGCAAGGCAGCGAAUUGUGGUCUAUUGAGGCGUGUCUCAGUGUCGGUCCCGGCCUAAGUCCAUUGGAACAUGGCAUCAGAGAGGGUGAGAAUCCCGUCUUUGGCUGGGGUCCCGGCGCGUUCGAGCCGUCCUCGAAGAGUCGGGUUGCUUGGGAGUGCAGCCCUAAGUGGGUGGUAAAUUUCAUCUGAAGCUAAAUAUAUGUGGGAAACCGAUAGCGAACAAGUACUGUGAAGGAAAGGUGAAAAGAACUUUGAAAAGAGGGUUAAAAGACUUGAAAUCGUUGAGAAGGAAGCAGUAGAAGUGGAUUUAUGUUAGCUAUGAAGCAAGCUAUGUGAGGAACUAACUCGUAGUAGUUAUGUACGUUAUUGGCUACCUGCUACGAUGUAAUAGCACUCUAUGGCGAUUUCAUAGUUAAAGGGCAAGACCAGGUCUAAUCACCUGCUGGAGUCAGUUCAGAGAAAGUCCACUGCUCUGUAGUGAGUCUUUGAACAAAACAGUAGGAUGGCCUGAGGA
rnacentral:rRNA from 1 species